rnacentral:misc_RNA from 1 species
AAGACUAUAGACCUGCGGAGUACCUGCGGAAGGAUCAUUACUGUUGAAACGUCUCGGCCAGUCGUGUCCCGCAUUGGGGCCUUCUGCGCCAGCGUUUAGCACCCUUGAUUUUGAGCACCUUUUGUUUCCUCGGCGGGUUCGCCCGCCAGCGAGGACCCCCAUGAACUCUUUGUAAUAGCAAUCUUUGUCUGAAAUACAAACAAUAAUCAAAACUUUCAGCAAUGGAUCUCUAGAUCGGAA